UUUAAGCACCAAAGUUUUAACUGCUUAAUGUUGUUUGGAUGCUCAAACUCUGUCAGCCCAUGAAGGUGAAUGUAAGUGGGACCAACCCCAACCCUUCCCUCUGCUUCGGUGCUAUACUGAUCAAAGCUCCUCAGUGCUGCAUACAAACAAACAAAUACACACACACACACACACACACACACACACACACACACACACACACACACACACACACACAGAGUCUGCCUGUAAGAAGGGUAUAUCAACAGAAUGUCAAAAGUGCAUGGGAAGCCCUGUCGUAGAGGUGCAUUUCAAUUUGUGGAGGUAGAUUCAGAUUUUUCUGGGUAAGUGAGGAGGUUGAGGAUGAUGAAGAGAAGUGGCUCUGAAUAAAACAUUACAUUUACAGGGGUAGUUUUUCUUGCAUAAAAAGAUUUCUUGCUCUCUUUCUGCAGGGAGCCAUGUGAGUCGAGCAGGCGAGGACAGAAACACAUGCUCUAGUUUCUCGCCUUUUUAAACAUUAAAAAGACUUCUGCUUUUAAAAUGCUGUUUAAACAUUGAUAACUUGCAUCCUGAGGAAAUCAAUGGCUGAGUGAUAUUAACCUAAUUCUCUCCUACAGACGCCCUCUUUGGGAAAGGCCCUCUGUUUUCUAACUCUCUGCACAAGUCAAACUCCAGGCAUCUUGAUUGUCUGUUUUCAAGUCUGAAUAAAAGUUUGGAGUCCAUACAACAGAAUAAAACUGUUUGAUGUACAAGAAGAAGAUCUGGCUGAGUGAACCCGGAGCUGCUUGUCUUUGACAGAGCUGUUGCUGUAGAGUCUUGCCCUCCUCUCUGGUUGACAGCACAGUGGUAAUGAAGCCUGAUACAGAGCCAGGAUCUACAAUCCCAGAUGACCCGCCGUGCAGCAUAUGGUAGCCCUCACUGUUGCUCUUGUGGCUAUUGGCCUGUGGCAGCAUGUCACCUGCUGAACUAGGAAAGAAAGUCAUGUGGGAAUACUGGGAUUGAGCUGCUUGUUCUUGCUUUUAAAAUGUGAGGAACUGCUCUUGUUUUCUGUUACAUGUGCUUCUGAGAGAAGACUGUUUAAAUGGGUCAAACAACACUCCAGUGUUUGAUUCUCAAGUUUUAAAAUGAAAAUGGGAAUGUGAGGCACAUGCUCCGGCACUCUGCAUCUGUGGUCUUCCAAAAUGCAUCAUGAUAUCAUGUUCAGAAUCAAAUCAAACCAAGAAGUGUAUGAAUAAUCUAUACCAGUUUAUUCAUUCAAUGUCCUUAGACAGCUGAAGUCUGUCCCAAAGGAGAGCAAUGGGCCCGAGGCUAAUACCAAUGUACCAGCUCAAUGUAUCAAGAGAAGAUGCAAACUCAGACAGUAUAGUAAUAUUACUUCUCUGGGAGACUUAAUGUUCCUGCUCACAAACAAUCAUAUAACUGUUUCAAGACUGUCAGAUCGGUAAAGAUAUGUGCAGAGAAAUGGUCCAUUAAGUUAUGUGUACAAUUUAGGUCACUCAAGCAAAUUCUUGCGGUCAGAUCAAGUUUAAUGGAGUCUGAAAAGACAGAGAGCUGAAGGGGCCAAACUUUUUAUUUUCUAUCUGUAUCUAUUUCUGUACAUUACGUUUCAUCUUAGAGCCCAUGUUGUUCAACAAGUAGGGUUGGGAAUCGAGAAUCGAGAAUCGAUGGGAAUCGGGACUAAAACUUCGAUUCUUCCGGUAUCGUUCAAAUAUUAAAAUUUCGAUUCCAAGUUUCGAUGCCAGAGUCCGCCGACCGGAAGAAAAAGCCGCCGAAAAUCAACGAAGAAGAAGCCGCUGAACACCAAUGAGGACGGAGCGUAUGAGACGAAGCUACACAGAGAGAGGAGAGAGACAGAGAGAGAAAGUACAUUGCAACCCACAGCAAUGCAGCCGCUGUGGGUUACAAUGUAAUCUCUCUCUGUCUCUCUCCUCUCUCUGUGUGACUUCGUCUCAUACGCUCCGUCCUCGUUGGUGUUCGGCAGCUUCUUCUUCGUUGGUCAAAAGUUUGGCUAACUUUAGCAGGAAGAAUGAACUCUUAUCUCAAUGCAACAUUAGCAAUACAGUUAUAUCAUGCAAAGGAGGGUAAACGACCAACAUGAUUAAACACCUCAGGAUUCAUGGAGGAGAAAUACCCGAGUGCUCGUCUUUGACGCGUUUCGCCGGUGUUGUGUCGUAGAAUGCACCCCUGACGGGAGCGCGGUUGAAAGUACACAACAAGGCGAAACAAUCCAAGUUUUUCUUACCGUUGGACGGAAUCUAAAGCGUGUGCCUUUAAUGAUUUCAUUCAGGCUAUUCAGAUAUGCCGAAAACAAUAGCCCUCUGAUUCGGAAUAUUUACUGUCCUGAAAAUAUAAUGUUCUCUACAUUAACAGCUUACUCUACAGUUUAUAUACCCAAGUACACCUUUAUGUGUGCAUUUUUGAGACACAUACAAACAAAACGAAAGUUUACUGCUCCAUUUGACACGUUUUCAUGAUCAAAUACCCGUGUUUUAUUAAAUAUGAGAUCAUAUUUCUUCCACUAAGAAGCUAAUCAGUGUAGGGGAGGCAUUCUACGGCAGGGGUGCAUUCUAUAGCACAACACCGGUCUUCCGCUAACCAGUCAGGAUCAGAUAAGUGAAACAAUAAAUUACUUCUGUCCUCUGCUAACUUUGAAAUGGUAAAGAAAUUGAACUGUGUACGGUGAGUAAACUUAAAUAUCCACCUAACAUUAGCCCUUGUACUUUUUCAUAGACAAACGACCCGAAAACAAAAAUUGAUAUUUAUAUGCUGGUUGAAAAUAGCUCUGUGAGAAAUUCAUAGUAAAGUUCUUAAAAAGUUAAUAGGAUUUAAAAAUUCAUGGAGAAGUUCAGAAAUUUCAUCCAAAAAGAAGAGCCCCGGUUAGCACCCUCAUUCAAACCAUGUUUUUUUUUUUCUUUUUUCUUUUUGAUAUCCUGCCUUUUAAAAGAAUCGAAUUAGAGAAUCGAUAGGAAUCGGAAUCGAAAUGAGGAAUCGAAAUUGGAAUCGGAAUCGUUCAAAAUCAAACGAUACCCAACCCUAUCAACAAGUGUGGUCUGCGAACAGUUGAGCCAGUCAUACAAAUCCAUCUUUUCAAUCAACUCUUCUUGUUCUGUGAGUGACUGAACUAAUGGGUCUUUUAGCAGACAGCUAACUAGCAGCAGACAGAUGUUAGCUAAGAUCCCCUUUUCCUCCAGUGCUGCUUUAAAGACCUCCAUACUCCUGCUUCAGACAGGGGUAAGCCAAAGACUGAGGUCAUGGAUGAUUAGCACAAGAUUAGGCAAAUGCUGUUGACUAACUUGGACGAGCCUGGAGGGUAAGUGAGUAAGUGGUUAACUUGUAAAUUGCAGUGAUGCCCCAAGAAGUGUUUAAUCACAAUUUCAACAAGCAAAGAUUUCAUGAAUUCAAGCUGAUUAACUGCUGGAGUGACAGCUUCCUAAAAGCCAAUGACCAAGCAAGCAGCUGUUUGACGGCACUCAUGGACACAAAUCUGCUCAAUGCAAGGAGAAAGUGUGAUGAGAGUGGUCCCAGAGGAGGCUUUCUCUGUGUGACAAAACCAGCCCAAUGGCCAAUCCAAAUUAGCACAAGAGCAGCAAGUCUAACGUGCUCAGAGUCUAUUAGCUUGUUUACUUAAGUGGAGAUAAUAGUACAUGAAUGUUAUCCAUGCCUAAUUAUCUUACGAUGACAUGUCCUUUUUUUUCUGUUUGCAAUGGCAAAUGUAGUAAAUUGGGAAAUAUUGUUUGAUCCCAAAUGUUACAGCUGGUCUUAUGGUAGCAGUGUGGUUGGUAUGCAUGAUUUUACAGUGGUUUAUAUUCAACAGUUGCAGCAUGGACACCAGGCAUCAGCAGUGGCCCUCAUUUAUCAAUCUUGCGUAGUACUGGAUGCAGAUCUGAGUGCAGGAUUCAUCCUACGAUAGGACACACGUAAGAUUUUUGAAAGGGUUCAUAUCUGACCAACCCCAGCGUAUGUAUAAUCGGGUCUUGAUAAAUGCGGUGGCUGAACUCGAUUGUUCAGGAGCCUCACCCACUGAGGUCAAACAUGAAAGAGGAGAAAUAUUAGAAAUAUUCGAAACUUUUCCAAACUGGAAGUGGAUAUUCUCAUAUCAGUGGUGGAAACUAACAAGGAUUUUCUCUUUGGAAGCAUCAAAACUGGUAUAAAAGCAGUCCAGAAAACUCCUGUCUGGAGCAGGAUUAUGGUGACGUGAACAGCACUGCCACGGAAUAGUGGACAGUGGCUGAAGUUUGAAUAAAUCAUUAGUCAAUAAGUUGCCCAUGAUGAUAAAUUAAUAUCUCAUACAUGCCUCAUAUCUUUUUAUUGCCAUGACAUAGGGUAUGUUGCUACUAUUAUUGAAAGUAUUUAGUUUUAAUUUGUUGGGUCUUUGUAAGGUAGGGUGGACUGGAGAGUCUGACAGAGGCUGAACAAAAAUGAUUAUUAAUGUCACUUAACAGUGUGUUGCUGCCCCUGAAGCACAUUUUUAUGGAUUUCUAUUGGAUUUUAUCACUGAUUAAAGGUGGGGUAGGCAGGAAUCUGUUAGAGAAGCAUCUUUUUUGUGGUGUAUUUACAAAAAAGCUUUUAAUAUCAGUCAAUAGCAAUUAGUUAUUGAUGACAUUUGGUAAUAUAACAAUAUCGCUGUGUUUUGUCAUGUCUGUGUAGUCAACAUUUAAAAUUUUCACAGCACUCCGCUCUUUCAGACUGUAAACAAAGCAGUUCUCCACCUACCCCAACCUGA